GAGAGAGAGAGAGAGAGAGAGAGAGAGAGAGAGGUCACCUUCUAUUUUCCUGCUGCCAUUGCUGGAGCAACAAGACCGUUCCUUCGGUGCAAUAACAAUUCUCAAAUGAUGGCCCAAAAACGCCUCCAAACCCCACAAUGAUGAUCUUCCACAGACAACUUUAUCGUUCUCAAAAUAGUAAUUAUAUUUCAUAAUAUCCACAUGGGAAGGAAAGAAAAUCGUUUUCUUCUGCAUGGGAGUGGCAGAGAGUUGUAGGAUGUGGAUGGCCUGGGUUUGUUUUCAUCCAGGUUGCUGAGCAAAAAGGCUAUUGUUCUUUAAAUGUAAUGGAUUCACGCAUGCACCUACGCUUCUCAAAAGGUGCUGAUGAGGCUGGCCCUGGACAGCACCCCAGCCAAGGAUCAUCUUCAGUGCCCUCUCCAUUUGUUUCAUUUUUGAAUACGUUUUCUUUAUUGCAUGUAUAGGCCUUUCCACAGUUCUGAUACACAAGCUGCAGGCAUCUGAUGUACCUGAGGGAGCAUCUUCCUCUACAGUCAGGAUCCUCACCACUCAUCGAGAUCAUCAGGAGGGGUCCAUCUUUCGGAGCCACCAGUUAAUCUGGUGGCAACCUCAUGCCCCUAAGUUGUGGAACACGUUCCCCAUAGAUAUAAGAGGACUGUCGUCCUUGGAGGCCUUCAGGAGAGCCUUGAAGAUCCAUCUUUUUAGCCUGCCUUUUAAUGACAUAUAGUUUUAAUGCUAUCUAGUUUUAAUUGCAAUUUUAAACUGUUUUUAAUUGGGGGGUUUUAUUUUAAUGGUUUUGUAUUUUUAUUUUCUUUUAGUGUAAACUGCCCUGAGCCACUUUAGGAAGGGUGCUAUGUAAAUUAAGUAAAUAAAUACAUAAAUAAAUUAUCACAGCCAUAAAUCAUUAAUGUUUUGUGUUGUAAAUCUGGAUUUAUCUGGAUUUGCAAAUCUGUACUUAUUUAUGUCCAUAUGUAAGCAAAUAAACAAAUUUGUUUGAUCUAA